rnacentral:rRNA from 1 species
GACGAACGCUGGCGGCGUGCUUAACACAUGCAAGUCGAACGGAAAGCCCUGCUUUUGUGGGGUGCUCGAGUGGCGAACGGGUGAGUAACACGUGAGUAACCUUCCCUUUACUUUGGGGUAACUUCAGGAAACUGGGGCUAAUACCGGAUAGGAGCUCCCGCUUCAUGGUGGGGGGUGGAAAGUUUCGGCGGUUGGGGAUGGACUCGCGGCUUAUCAGCUUGUUGGUGGGGUAGUGGCUUACCAAGGCUUUGACGGGUAGCCGGCCUGAGAGGGUGACCGGCCACAUUGGGACUGAGAUACGGCCCAGACUCCUACGGGAGGCAGCAGUGGGGAAUAUUGCACAAUGGGCGGAAGCCUGAUGCAGCAACGCCGCGUGCGGGAUGACGGCCUUCGGGUUGUAAACCGCUUUCGCCUGUGACGAAGCGUGAGUGACGGUAAUGGGUAAAGAAGCACCGGCUAACUACGUG